GUAAUCUUUUUCCAUUGUUUCCAGCUGACAAGCAUAUGGACCUAUUGUUCGAGUCCGUGGUGGUGGAUGCUCUAUCAUAUCAGGAGUCUGUGGUGGUGGAUGCUCUAUCAUAUCAGGAGUCUGUGGUGGUGGAUGCUCUAUCAUAUCAGGAGUCUGUGGUGGUGGAUGCUGUAUCAUAUCAGGAGUCGGUGGUGGUGGAUGCUCUAUCAUAUCAGGAGUCUGACUAAGUACCUGUGCCUGAACCUCUCUGUGUCUAGUUCAAAAGACCUGAAAUAUCUGCUGUAAGCAGGCACAGGUUAAGAUUUUAAAAGAACCUGUAAGGUUGCCUGAUGCUGAACUUCGGGCAGCUGCGUGCUCCGUGGAACAACCGCCUGUGGGAGGAGUCGUUGUGUUGCUAUUAGGAGUUUGGGUUGGAGUCCUGGAUCUAUGGGAAUUCUUUCCUUGAAGCUCCUGAUCACACAACCAUACUGGCAGUCGGCUUAUCCACUACCUUCUGCUCACCCGCUUGCAACUAAUGCUGUCAUUCUCCCAGACUUCUGGUUGUUUCUCCACCAUUCUGCUGUCUCCCGUCUGCGCUACAACUUCAGACCGUAAGUACCUAAACUUUUCCUUUUGUAAGUCAUUCUUUAGUCAUUACUAACACUCAAUUUUACCUCAGGGCCUUCUGAUCUUUAAACACUAAAACCUGUGGCUCCAUCUCUGUGGCGUUUCUCAGUCUCUGUAAGCUACCUGCACAGUCUAAGAAAAACCUGACCUGUUGCCUCUUACUAACCUCUGCUCUUCCUCGCAGAAGCUUCUGGUUCCUGAUCUCCAGCUGUUACCUCUUCAGUCAUUCAUCAAACAUUGUAAUAAACUGUUUUUAGCUCAUUUGUCUCCUGAGUUUCUCUGCAUGAAGGUCAGGUUGUUGCAAAAAAUCAUGACAUCAGCAAUUACUUUGCACCACUCUGUUAAACAGCUGAUAUUAAUUUCAAGUGUAUCUUUAAAAAUACAUUGAAUGUCAAAGUGAAUGAAAGGCAUCCAUUUAGCUUUCGGUGUCUAAUGCAGGAUUUUAUGGACAGGCACCAAAACAGGAAAUUUAUAAAUUGAGAUUUAUUUACUAAAUCAGGUAAACCAUAAUAAAAUACUAAUGUUUAAAGUCCGGAGGAGGGAGGAAGGCUUUAUAGCAGGGGUAUUCAAUUCUAGUCCUGGAUGGCUGGUAUCCAGCACGUUUUAGUUGUUUCCCUGCUCCAACACACUUGAAUCAGUGGUUGAAUUACUUGUGCAGCAGCUCUGCAGAAGCCCGUUAAUUAUCUGCUGACUGAAAUCAGGUGUGUUGAAACAGAGUUCAAACUAAAACGUGCUGGAUACCGGCCCUCCAGGCCCAGACGUAAAUACCCCUGCUUUAUAGGCACAGAGAACUCCCAUCGGGAUCCUGGAGACGGCACAAGGAGAUGACGACAUGAGUGUGCCCUCCCAGAUCACACCAACACCACCUGACCACAUGGAGGCAUGUGUCUGUAAGAAAGAAAAACUGGUGAUGUAAGAGAUUAAACAAAAACUACGAACAAAAUCAAUUUUACAGUUGUUUAACCUGCUGAGCAUUACCUCCCCAAAGAGCAGCACAAAGGUGCAACUGGCUCAGAACCAGGGUGCUCCGUAAUGCAGGUGGUCACCUCCUCCUGCUGACGCCCGAGGAUUACCUACAACAAAGGGAAAACUGAUAUCAAUAAGGAAAUAAUUAAAUCAGAGCUAAAAGUUUAAUUUUAGUGUGACGUUUGAGAUUGUGGGAAAUAAAUGUGGACAUUAUGAUUUUCUAUUGUGGGGUCAGUACCUUGGGCGUUUCUCCGUAGCAACAUUUUGUCUGGCUGACAGUGAAGUAGAAAAGUCACCAGUUGAGGCAGAGUUAGACUAUAUUACUCCAGCUAAGCUAAAUGUAGCUAAACUAGACACUAGUCACCAGACUAUGGCUACUAUAGAUUUACUAGAGAGUUACAUCAUAUAAUCCAUUCGUUUCACUGAAAAAGGAGCAGGCAGAACUAUGAACUUGUUUAGUCCGUCCAAGUAACAUGGAAUAAAAAAUACAUGUAUCUGUAUGUAAAUGUAGUUUAACAGUCUUCCCAC